rnacentral:lncRNA from 1 species
UCGUGAGUUCCAACUAGAUGGUAGGUCAUAGAUAAAUCAUCAAACCUCAACAUCAGUCAUAUGAUAGAUUCGAUUAGCUCAAGUCCAAUUAUGAUUUCUGUAAAAAAAAAUUUUCAUCAAUCAUACUGCUGUGAGCACAGACUCUUGGACUUAACCUCUCAAAUCCUACAGGAUAACUCUUUUCUAUCAAAGUUGAUAG